rnacentral:rRNA from 1 species
GACGGAGGAUGCAAGCGUUAUCCGGAAUGAUUGGGCGUAAAGCGUCUGCAGGUGGCCGUUCAAGUCUGCUGUCAAAGACCGGGGCUUAACUUCGGAAAGGCAGUGGAAACUGAACAGCUAGAGUAUGGUAGGGGCAGAGGGAAUUCCUGGUGUAGCGGUGAAAUGCGUAGAGAUCAGGAAGAACAUCGGUGGCGAAGGCGCUCUGCUGGACCAUAACUGACACUCAGGGACGAAAGCUAGGGGAGCGAAUGGG